AACAUCAUAACUCGGCAAUGGCAAGUCUCUUGUUUUUUAUUGACUAUAUAUGGAGCUGUGUUAGUCAAAUUUCAUUUGCAAACAGAGUGAAAAAAUAACAGAGAGAACUAGCUAUUUUCUAGCAAUGGCAAGUCUCUUGUUUUUUAUUUUUCUCUCAGCAAUUAUCACUACAGAAGCUCAAAAAGGGGAAUCCAUUGUAAACCUUGGCUCUUCUUUAACACCUACCUCCAAGUCUUCAUGGCAGUCACAAUCUGGUUUCUAUGCCUUUGGCUUCUACCAACAAGCCAAUGGCUAUGCUGUUGGAGUUUUUUUGGCUGGGAUUCCUGAAAAGACAGUAGUCUGGACAGCCAUCCGAGACAAACUUCCAGCUCUCGCUAGUGUUACAUUGAAUUUCACUAGUGAUGGUAGACUCAUCAUGCAAUCAGCACAAGGCGAAGAGACGGCCAUUGCCAAUCCUCCUGAACGUGCAGCAUCAGCAUCAAUGCUUGAUUCGGGAAACUUUGUUCUCUAUAAUUCGGAUAAGAAGAUUAUAUGGCAAAGUUUUGAAUCCCCAACGAAUACCCUCUUACAAGGUCAGCGACUCACAGCUGGCAAAGAGUUGUUUUCAAGUGUUUCAGAAUCUGAUCAAUCGACAGGAAUAUUUCGCCUGAAAAUGCAGACGGAUGGAAACCUUGUGCAGUACCCAGUGCAAACCGCAGAUACGAGUGAAUAUGCUUAUUGGGCUUCUGGAACAGAUGGAAAAGGCAGUAAUGUUUCACUAUGUCUGGAUGAUGAUGGUCAUCUUUACUUGCUCAAUUCCACCGGCACAAUCUUAAAUAAUCUGACUCAUGGCGGAUAUCCAACAAAAGAUGUAGUGUAUUUUAUGCGAAUUGAUGUCGACGGGAUCUUCAGGCUAUUCUCACACAAUUUGCAUAAGAAUGGGAAUUUCUCAGUCAUAUGGUCAUCUUCCGAUAAUAAGUGUGACCCUAAGGGCCUGUGUGGUCUCAAUGGGUUUUGCACUAUGAUAGAUCAGGAUGCUAAUUGCUUGUGUCUUCCAGGUUUUGCAAGUGUUAUCGAGGGAAAUUGGAGCUCAGGUUGUGAAAGGAAUUUCACUGCAGAAAGUUGCAAGAGCAAAGAUGUAAGUAUGAAAUAUAUCAUGCAAGCAGUACCUAAUACUGUAUGGGAAGAUAAUUCUUUUUCUUCCCUAACAAUAUUGACCAAAGACGAUUGUGAAGCAGCAUGUUUGAAGGAUUGUAAUUGUGAAGCCGCUACAUACAAAGAUGGAGUUUGUCGAAAGCAAAAGCUUCCAUUGAGAUAUGGAAAAAGGGUACUAAGUGAUGAUAACAUUGCAUUCAUCAAGGAAGCUAUAUCUACUUCCACCAUAAAUAAAAUUGAGCCCUUGGGACGUGAAAAAUAUUCUCAGAAGGGCAUAAUGAUUCUGGGCAUCUCACUUGGUGCUUUUGGACUUAUUAUGUCAGUGAUUUCUGCAAUUGCAAUUUAUAAAAAUCGAGUCCGAGCAUAUAGAAGGCUCUCUAAUAGUGGAAAUGUUGAUUUAACCAUGGAUGUUUCUCCAAGAUCAUUUACUUAUUCUGAUCUUGAGAAAAUGACUAAUGGUUUCAAGGAAGAGCUGGGUAGAGGAUCAUUUGGGACUGUUUACAAGGGAACAAUAUGGAAUGGUCAGAAGAUCGUAGCCGUCAAAAGACUAGAGAAAGUGUUGACUGAGGGGGAGAGAGAGUUUCAAACCGAGAUGAAAGUUAUUGGAAGAACACACCACAAGAACCUUGUCCGUCUGCUUGGGUAUUGUCAUGAUGGAGAGAAUAGGCUUUUGGUAUAUGAGUACAUGAGCAAUGGCUCACUUGCAGAUAUACUCUUCAAUCCUGAAAAAAAAACUUUGUUGGGAUGAAAGAAUAGAAAUUGCUCGCAACAUAGCAAAGGGAAUUCUUUAUCUCCAUGAAGAGUGCGAGUCACAAAUCAUUCAUUGUGACAUAAAGCCUCAAAACAUACUCAUGGAUGAAUAUAGGUGCCCAAAAAUCUCUGAUUUUGGAUUGGCAAAGCUACUAAAGCCAGACCAAACCAAUACCUUUACAGGUAUCCGAGGAACAAAAGGGUAUGUUGCACCAGAAUGGCAUCGAAACCAACCAGUGACAGUUAAAGCAGAUGUAUACAGCUUCGGAAUUGUUCUGUUGGAGCUUAUAUGUUGUAGAAAGAGUGUGGAUUGGAGUUUUCCUGAAGAAGAAGCUAUUCUUGAAGAAUGGGCAUACUCUUGCUUUGAGGCUCAUGAGCUAGAUAAACUAGUUAGUGGUAAGGAUGUUGACAAAAGGCAAUUGGAGAGAAUAGUUAAAGUGGGACUUUGGUGCAUUCUUGAUGAGCCAUCUCUUCGUCCUUCAAUGAAAAAGGUUCUGCUAAUGCUGGAAGGGACUGUAGAUGUCCCAAUCCCUCCAAGUCCAACUUCUUUUCUUAGUACCGUAUAAAAUGUGUUUGUAAUUUUUUUUUCUUAGGAAAUGUUAUAGAGGGGAUUUGAGCUGGAUAUGUUCCUUCAUUAAACAAGUGUUAGUACUCAGCUAGUCUUUUAAGGCCAAUGGCAAAAUGUGGUUGUACUUCAAAACCCAAAUAUGGGAUGGUUUGCAAGAAUAAUUGGCACAACAAUAUUGUUAAGAUUCUUUGUGCUACACGCCCAUAGUAUUAUUGGAUAUCGGACUAUCUCAACUUCAAAUGCUAUUAAAUAUAUGUAUAUGUCAGUGGCCCUUGGCUUGAGCGAGGGAAUGACUCCGCAUACUUCCGUUGAGAGAGGAGAAAAAAAAUGUUCCUAAAAAGAUAAAAAUCAAAUGCUUUAUUUUUUAUUUUUUCCUUAAGAUACAAGUAGG